rnacentral:rRNA from 1 species
AUACGGAGGAUGCGAGCGUUAUCCGGAUUUAUUGGGUUUAAAGGGUGCGCAGGCGGCGUGUCAAGUCAGCGGUCAAAAUGCGGCGCUCAACGCCGUACCGCCGUUGAAACUGGCAUGCUCGAGUUCGUGCGAGGAUGGCGGAAUGCGCGGUGUAGCGGUGAAAUGCAUAGAUAUCGCGCAGAACUCCGAUUGCGAAGGCAGCUGUCCAGCACACGACUGACGCUCAUGCACGAAAGCGUGGGUAUCGAACAGGAUUAGAUACCCUGGUAGUCCACGCGGUAAACGAUGAUAACUAGUUAUUCGGCGCGAUUGAGCGCUGAGUGACCGAGCGAAAGCGUUAAGUUAUCCACCUGGGGAGUACGCCGGCAACGGUGAAACUCAAAUGAAUUGACGGGG